rnacentral:rRNA from 1 species
GGCAGGGCGGCAGCUACCAUGCAGUCGAGCGGAAACAAAGAGUAGCUUGCUACUCUGGCGACGAGCGGCGGACGGGUGAGUAAUGCUUGGGAACAUGCCUUGAGGUGGGGGACAACAGUUGGAAACGACUGCUAAUACCGCAUAAUGUCUACGGACCAAAGGGGGCUUCGGCUCUCGCCUUUAGAUUGGCCCAAGUGGGAUUAGCUAGUUGGUGAGGUAAUGGCUCACCAAGGCGACGAUCCCUAGCUGGUUUGAGAGGAUGAUCAGCCACACUGGGACUGAGACACGGCCCAGACUCCUACGGGAGGCAGCAGUGGGGAAUAUUGCACAAUGGGCGCAAGCCUGAUGCAGCCAUGCCGCGUGUGUGAAGAAGGCCUUCGGGUUGUAAAGCACUUUCAGUCAGGAGGAAAGGUUAGUAGUUAAUACCUGCUAGCUGUGACGUUACUGACAGAAGAAGCACCGGCUAACUCCGUGCCAGCAGCCGCGGUAAUACGGAGGGUGCGAGCGUUAAUCGGAAUUACUGGGCGUAAAGCGUACGCAGGCGGUUUGUUAAGCGAGAUGUGAAAGCCCCGGGCUCAACCUGGGAACUGCAUUUCGAACUGGCAAACUAGAGUGUGAUAGAGGGUGGUAGAAUUUCAGGUGUAGCGGUGAAAUGCGUAGAGAUCUGAAGGAAUACCGAUGGCGAAGGCAGCCACCUGGGUCAACACUGACGCUCAUGUACGAAAGCGUGGGGAGCAAACAGGAUUAGAUCCCCUG